UACGGAGGGGGCUAGCGUUGUUCGGAAUUACUGGGCGUAAAGCGCACGUAGGCGGCUUUGUAAGUUAGAGGUGAAAGCCCGGGGCUCAACCCCGGAAUAGCCUUUAAGACUGCAUCGCUUGAACACGGGAGAGGUGAGUGGAAUUCCGAGUGUAGAGGUGAAAUUCGUAGAUAUUGGGAAGAACACCAGUGGCGAAGGCGGCUCACUGGUCCGGUACUGACGCUGAGGUGCGAAAGCGUGGGGAGCAAACAGG
rnacentral:rRNA from 1 species